ensembl:lncRNA
GCGGCCGCCCUCGCCCCUCCGGAGAAGCUUCCACCCCGCCCCGCGGCCCGCUCCCCUCGGCUGCGGGGUCUUCGCCGCGCAGCGGGCUGAGCCGGGCGGCCGGCGGGUCCCGGGCAGGCCGGGGGGCACCGCGCUGCACUCACCAUGGCGUUGGAGCAGUUCAGCAGGCACACGGCGGCCAGCAGGAACCACCGCCGCCGGUACGUCUUGAAUUCGGACAGCCGACCCAGGUCCCCCUCCCCCAGCAGGCUCGCUGCUUCGGCACCCUCCAUGGCGGCUCGGCUCGGCUCGGCUCGGGACAGCCCCGCCCGGCGCCGCCCCGCCCCGCCCCGUCCGCCGCGCUCGGCGGCCUCCCCGGGGCGGCCCCGGCCGCACCACCGCCUGCUCCCCGGAACGGCCCGGCCCGGCGGGGACCGCAGCGUGCGGCAGCGGUGCGGGUGCGCCCUGCGGAGCCGCGCCAAGCUGGGUGACAGCCAUUCUCGCGGGAGCCGCGUUUGCCCUGUCGCACCUGGCAGAGAGGAAAAGCCCGGUGCUCCGAAACGGGACUGCUAAAGGGCUCGGGAUGUGGGCUGCUGAGGCGCUCGGGGCAGAAAAUUCCUCUUUUCCCGUGUGUCAUGAAAACAGCAGCAGCAAGAACAUCACUAAUGCCCGCUGGUGGCUCCGCGUUAUGGUGGGAGUCACUGUCAGCUCUCGCCUCCGGGCAGCGCCAAAGCGGCAGCUCCCGCGGCUGCGGGCACCGGUGGCGGUAGGAGGGAGAAGCGUUGCGGUAACAGACCUGUCCAAGGGUGAUCGCUCUGCAGUAGAAAAAAGGCAAGGGGAGAAUAAAAGGAGGAUGUCUUAGGGGUCCAGACCCUCAGAGCAGCCACGGGAUGUACAGUUUGGUUAUGGUUUUAUAGGACUGAUAAUGCUGCAAACAGCAAUGUCUUCUUCCUCCACUGCAGAGACACCCGCACUACCUGUUACCUCCUUCUCAAAACCUCACCAAGAGUGCAAAGCAAAAGGCUUUUCCGCUCCUAAACGAGGCCUACGACUUCAGGCUGGAUGGGCGCUGAUAGUGCCUGGAUGUCUUUCUGACAGCACUGAGGUUUGAUCCCUCUCCCAGACCCACCACACAGCCCUUGCUCAGCAUCAGCAGUGCCGAGCCGACAGGCGAAUGGAUUCCAGAAAUGGCUCCAAGGUGCUCUUUCCCACCAUUUUGUCACCUCUUGCUCAGCCCUUUGAAGCCUGUAUGCUGUUCCUCACCACCGCCUACUAAGAGCACACCACCUUCUCAGGUCUGAGACUGAAGUUUAUUUAAUGUGAGAAGGACUUUAUUUCAAACUCUUUGGAGUGAGUAUCUGGAAGAGUGGAUAUGGAGAGUUAUCCUGCAUGCAGGCAUUCUCUCAUGAACAAUUUUAGCUGAAAUUUUCCAUUCCAGGACAAGGGAAGCUGGGGCGGGGAGAAGAAACCAUUUCAACCCCAAGUUCAGCCUGUUGUUGCACUGUGUAGAGAAGCAGGCAUUGUGUGUGCUAGUGAGCAAGCUUUACUGAUUGAUACAUUGUACCCUCCAGUCUCCCACAGCUGGAUUUUGGGCUUGACAUUUAGUAAUAGCAGGUGGGAUUGUUAAGGUGAUAUUAAGGAUUGACCUGUUCCUUUGUCUACAAAUGCCUGGCCAAAUUUGCCUGGCUUGUGAGCUGCUGACAAAAGAGCACUGCUGUUAUUAUGCUGUAGGCUGAUGCCCUGCUCUGAAAAGACAUACUGUAACCUGCGUUGUGCACAUGAGUUCACUCCCCCCCUGACCCAUCAGUACUGAGACAUGGAGAGAAACUUCUAUAUCAACAUGCUGGAAAGAUGCCCAGGUGUAUGGGACAGCAGAAAGCCUCAGUGGUCAGUGCUCACCAGAACCAUAAUUCCCUUCUCUCCUUGGUCUCUCAUGUCAGGCAAGCCCUGAAAAUAGAGUUCUCUGAGGCUCUGUCCAUGUCCACUGUGUCCAUUCCUUUUUCAGCUCAAAAAUACAUGUUACCAUCAAAGAAGUCUAAAUAAUGCUGGCAGAAACCAGGAUGCUAUUGUGGAAAACCUUUACUACUUUUGCUCUCUGCUGUCCAUUUUGUUAGUAAAAUACUAACACCUUUGGGGCAGACAUCAGAAAGUAUGUGUCAAACAGGGCCACAGAAAGAAAAAGACAACUGCAGCAGGAGACAACUGCUUUUCUGUUUCAACCAGAAUAAUCAGCGGACUCUUAAGUCACAUCUGGAGGAAAUUAAUUAUUUUUUCCCUACCUCAUGUUUAUCUUGGAUGUAUUGCCUUGUUUUACACACCCUAAGAGGACUAGUCUGGGGCUGCAGGGAGCUAAGAGCACUCAGAGAAGCUCUGUGCAACUUCAUCCCCCUACUCUAUACCAUGUCUCCCAUGAACAAGGGCACCACUUGUUACUGGUAGCACACUAAGGACAGCAGGAGGAUUAGAGCUGAAGGAGAACGGUUCCAUCUGCCAUGCACCUCUUGGUGCUCCUCUUCUGCCUGACGCAUCUCUAUCGGCCCCUUUAUCCACAGUGUCACCCUCUCUUCCCCACACCCCAGCA